rnacentral:misc_RNA from 1 species
GAACCACGUAAGGAGGUAGUCUCUUUUGUCUCGCGGAGCUGUGAAUACACGAUGCGUAUACACAAUGGUCCCUGCUAAGGAUACCGCCGUGUACUCUGCCGUGUAGGCAGGUGAGAAAGUACGAAGAAAGAGAAAGAGAAAUCUGGAGAUCGAACCGACGGCGGGCCGCGCGGCAGAAUGCCUCUCGGAUAUCCUCGUAUAGGCGUCACGGGUAUAGCAAUCGCGUGGCUUACAAGGCAAGCCUAACGAGCGUUUCUAAGAGCCUUCGUCGGAGAGAUGUUUUCUCAAGAUUAGAAGCAGAGGCGAGCAGUGUCGCAGAGCUGAUGGCUGCAACGUUAUCACCGUAAUGGACGGCUGGCCCACAAAAGUUUAACAUCAACAGAUACCACCAAGGCAAGCAGACUUUCGUUUGUGAUUCGCAAGAAUCACGGUCGCAAAAAUAUGAGCGUACUGACCGCAAACUAGAACCUGAGCACUCCAUUUGCAAAUAUUCCUCGAGUUCUUGGAAGCUUCCAAAGGCUCUUAAAAAGAAACGACCACAGUAGGGCAAGACGUUUUGCAAAGUGUUUGUUCUUCGUCCUGGAUUCGAAUCUAAAAGAUUAAAAAAAUAGCCUGUAUAGCAAAAUGUGUUUAAGAAUAUUGUUAUAAUGGCCGGUGCUUGCAUAUACACCCUAAUAUACAUAAAUAUCAUAAAAUAUUAGGUUGACAACUAAGUGAUCGCGGGAUUUGUCAAUACCACCUAAUGACAAAAUCCGCAAUCACUUAGUUGCCAGCU